rnacentral:rRNA from 1 species
ACGGUAACAGGACUUCGGUCGCUGACGAGUGGCGCACGGGUGAGUAACGCGUGGGUUACCUGCCCAUAAGUGGGGAACAACUUGGAGAAAUCCAAGCUAAUACCGCAUAAUACCUUCGGGUUAAAGAGGGGGAUCUUCGGACCUCUCGCUUAUGGAUGGUCCCGCGUCUGAUUAGCUAGUUGGUAGGGUAAUGGCCUACCAAGGCAAUGAUCAGUAGCUGGUCUGAGAGGAUGAUCAGUCACACUGGAACUGAGACACGGUCCAGACUCCUACGGGAGGCAGCAGUGGGGAAUUUUGCACAAUGGGCGAAAGCCUGAUGCAGCGACGCCGCGUGCGGGAAGAAGGCCUUCGGGUUGUAAACCGCUUUCAACAGGGAAGAAGGAAUGAGAGCUAAUACCUCUCUGCCUUGACGGUACCUGUAGAAGAAGCACCGGCUAAUUUCGUGCCAGCAGCCGCGGUAAUACGAAAGGUGCAAGCGUUGUUCGGAUUUACUGGGCGUAAAGAGAUCGUAGGUGGCUUGUUAAGUCGGAUGUGAAAUCCCGGGGCUCAACCCCGGAACUGCAUCCGAUACUGGCAGGCUUGAGUUUGGGGAGGGGUAAGCGGAAUUCCGUGUGUAGCAGUGAAAUGCGUAGAUAUACGGAGGAACACCUGAGGCGAAAGCGGGCCUACUGGACCAAUACUGACACUGAGAUCGAAAGCGUGGGUAGCAAACAGAUUAGAUACCCUGGUAGUCCACGCCCUAACGAUGUCAACUAGCCGUUGCGGGGUAUCGACCCC